GACGAACGCUGGCGGCGUGCUUAACACAUGCAAGUCGAACGCUGAAGCUCAGCUUUUGUUGGGUGGAUGAGUGGCGAACGGGUGAGUAACACGUGAGUAACCUGCCUCCUUCUUUGGGAUAAUGCCCGGAAACGGGUGCUAAUACUGGAUAUUCACUGGUCUUCGCAUGGGGGUUGGUGGAAAGGGUUUUUCUGGUGGGGGAUGGGCUCGCGGCCUAUCAGCUUGUUGGUGGGGUGAUGGCCUACCAAGGCUUUGACGGGUAGCCGGCCUGAGAGGGUGACCGGUCACAUUGGGACUGAGAUACGGCCCAGACUCCUACGGGAGGCAGCAGUGGGGAAUAUUGCACAAUGGGCGCAAGCCUGAUGCAGCGACGCCGCGUGAGGGAUGGAGGCCUUCGGGUUGUGAACCUCUUUCGCUCAUGGUCAAGCCGCAACAAUGGUUGUGGUGAGGGUAGUGGGUAAAGAAGCGCCGGCUAACUACGU
rnacentral:rRNA from 1 species